CCAUAAACUUUUCAUAAAUAUUCUAAGAUUCUAACAAUAAAAAGUUCUAUUUAUUCCAAAUUGUGACUGCUCUAAUGUGCAGUUGUUUUCUGAUUCAGAUGAUUGAGGAGCUUGGUGGUUCUCUCACUGCUGAUGGGAGUACAAGCACUCAUGUCAUUACAGGAAAUUUGCGGAAAACUCUAAAUUUUUGUAUUGCUCUCUUUUCAGGAGCUUGGAUUUUCUCCUCCAGUUGGUUAAAGGAAACCUAACGGGAAGGCAGAUUUGUUGACGAGUUGCCUUACAUACUAAAUGAUGAUGACUACAUAUCGAAGUAUCGAGCCAGCCUAAAAGCUGCAGUUCUCAGGGCAAAAGCAUGUUCUUGAGCUUUAUUUGAAGGGUAUGAUGUUUGCAUAUCAGCUCACGCUCAACCACCACCUAAAACUCUAUCCCUGAUAGUCAAGUCAACCGGUGGAAAUGUAAGUUCUCUGUUAUUGUACAAAUCUCGAGUACUAGGUUUGGUUCUCUAUAUUACA